rnacentral:rRNA from 1 species
CAGUGGGGAAUAUUGGACAAUGGGGGCAACCCUGAUCCAGCAAUGCCGCGUGAGUGAUGAAGGCCUUAGGGUUGUAAAGCUCUUUUACCGGGGACGAUGAUGACGGUACCCGGAGAAUAAGCCCCGGCUAACUUCGUGCCAGCAGCCGCGGUAAUACGAAGGGGGCGAGCGUUGUUCGGAAUUACUGGGCGUAAAGGGCGCGUAGGCGGCGAUCCGAGUCAGAUGUGAAAGUCCUGGGCUUAACCUGGGGAUUGCAUUUGAUACUGGAUUGCUUGAAUUCGGGAGAGGAUAGCGGAAUUCCCAGUGUAGAGGUGAAAUUCGUAGAUAUUGGGAAGAACACCGGUGGCGAAGGCGGCUAUCUGGACCGACAUUGACGCUGAGGCGCGAAAGCGUGGGGAGCAAACAGGAUAGA